UUAAUGUGUAACAGACUUAAGGUGUUAUCUUGCAUUUCUUCAUGUUUAAAGAUCAUUUAAUUUCUAUUAUUUGUGGGGGACUUUUAUUUUGAAAGGAAUUCCGUUUUUCAGAGCAGAAAAUAAAUGAGAGAGCAGAAGGUAAAGCGGACGUUUCAUAACAGUUUAACUAGAGCUCGUACUGAAAAGGACUGUUUACAAGUUUAAUCAGCAACCCCCCGAAAAGGCAUAAGGUUUGUUUCAUCAUAUAUUGUUAGUGAGAAAUACAUAUUUUGUGAAGAUAUCUAAGAAUGCUGAUGUAUGUUUUUGUAUUGUUUUGCUCAGCUCUUACGGUGAUUUCAAGUGUAAAGGAAUGUAAAUAAAGCAACUUGAAACAUCAGUAAAGUUUCGGCCAUCAUUCGGAUGGGGUCUGCUACAGUAAGAGCUUCACCUUCGCUGAUUAAGAUCCUCGCGGCAGGCGCAGGCGGACGGAUAUAACGCGACGACGGAAAGGGCAUUGCAGUGAGUUAUAAUCAGCAUAGAGCGUGAUGGUCUACGGAGCUGAGACGUAAAAGGGUACGAGUUCAAUAUGGAAAUGGAUGAAGAUGACCAAGAAUCUGAGAGGCCGCUCCAAAUGGAAAAUGAAGGUAAUAUGGAAACAGAUAUAAAAGGAGCAAUUGAACAAAAAGACAAAAAUACAUCAGAAGAACAGUGUCAUGUACAAGAGAGCACAGAACUCCCUCGACGUUCAGAACGUUCUCGUAUACCAACAGAGAAAAUGCUUGCUUAUCAAAAAGAGGAAUGUAGAAAGAAAGAAAAAAAAUUAACUACAUUGUAUGAACAAUGGAAGUUAGAUGCUCGUAAAGCAAGGCAGGAUUUAAAAACUGACAUAUCUGACAAGCAGCUUGCAGAUAUCGCUGAUUCACUUGAGGAUAAAAGGAAUGGUAUCAUGAAAAUCUUCAUCGAUAUAAGGGAAUUUAUUACUCCUGCUGCUGACUUAAGACGUAAAAUCGAUGCAUGUGAUGCUGUGACCAAUGACAUUGUCAAAAUAGUGUUGGAAAAAAUAUCAAAUGUAGAUGAUGAGUAUGAUGCAGAAAGAGAAAGGGGGCGUCUAAGUGAACUUUUAGCACACAGUUACGCUCGCUCUAUAUUUGGUUCCAGUGCUUCACUAAUGAGUGUCAACAGCCAUUCUGGAUCCUCUCGUACAGCAAGAAAACGAGCAGACGCUGCAGCAGAGCUGGCUGCAAAGGAGGCUGAAUACAAGAUGAUGCAAGCAGAAAGGCAACAAAAGGAAAAAUUAAGAAAUAUAGAAGAGCAAUUUAAAAAAGAGUUAGAAACUCAAAGGUUUGAACUGGAAUGUUUGCAAGUAGAAAAGGAUAUAGAGGUUGCUCGUGCCAGAGUAAAAUCGUAUGAUGAAGAAAUAAAGGAGGAAACAAGAAAUCAGUCAAUAAAAAGUGAAAAGCAGGGGCCGAGAAAUGAAAGGCAGCUUCAGGAAUCUUAUGUUCUUCAGUCAGCAUCGCUCAGUGAAGUGUCUCACCUUGCUCAAGCAGUUCAGGACAGCAUAGCCAUAAACAGGUUACCCCUACCUGAGCCUACAGUGUUCAACGGAGACCCAAUACAGUUUGUGGAAUGGAAGUCAUCAUUUAUGUCAUUAAUAGGUAAAAAGGGCAUUUCAGCAGCUGACAAGCUUUAUUAUUUGAAAAAGUAUGUGAGUGGCUCAGCGCAUAGGUAUCUUGAGGGCACCUUUUAUCGAAAUGAUGAAGAAGCGUACAAAGACGCUUGGGACAAGCUUAAUAAAAGGUACGGCCAGCCCUUUGUUAUACAAAGAGCGUUUAGAGAAAAGCUGUCUAAGUGGCCUAAAAUACAGUCCAAAGACGCAGAAGGUUUGAGAACAUUUUCAGACUUUUUAAAUGCAUGUUUGCAAGCCAUACCACAUGUAAAAGGUCUGGAAAUAUUAAAUGACUGUGAAGAAAACCAGAAGCUGGUGCAAAAACUACCUGACUGGGUAGCUUCCAGAUGGAACCGUCAGGUCACAAAAACCCUUAUGGAUGACAAAGAGUUUCCAAGUUUCCAUGACUUUGUCAAUUUCAUGACAACAGAAGCAGAAAUUAUGUGUAAUCCCAUCACUUCUUUACAUGCUCUUCAUUCAUGUGAGUCACCUUAUGAGAGAAGAAUGUCAAAGGAAACUAAAAGAAGUAAAGCAAUUGUUUUUAAGACACAAACAAGUGUAAACAAUGACACACAAUCAACAGUCAAAGGAAAGUUUACAGUGACUAAAACACAGUGUAUGUUGUGUCAGGAUGACAGUCAUCAACUUCAUAAGUGUCUGAAAUUCAUGGAGAAGUCUCUGAAAGACAGAAGAGCCUAUGUGAAAGAUAACAAACUCUGCUACGGGUGUUUAAAAUCGUCCCACCAUGCUAAGGAGUGUCGUCGUCGACACACAUGUGAUGUAUGCAAGUUACGACAUCCCACAUGUCUUCAUGAUUACAAUUAUGACAAGGACGGAAUCAGAGAACGACCAUUGCCCAUGGUAAGCAAUGUGCAUGCAACUGAAAGUGAAACUACUAAUGCCAUGUCACUUAAUAUCACAAGAGAAAGUCAGUCAGUCAUUACAUCGAUGAUCGUACCAGUAUGGGUGUCUUCAGUUAAAAAUCCAUCCAACGAACAGCUUGUGUAUGCAUUGCUAGAUACACAGAGUGACACUACAUUUAUUGAUGAAGACAUUAGUAAUACACUGCAAGUAGAGAGUCACCCAGUGAAACUCAAACUAACCACCAUGAUGGGAGACAAUGAGAUUAUUAGAAGCAAUCGAGUAACGGAUCUUCAAGUGAGAGGGUACAGUUCCUCAGUACAUAUCAGUCUUCCUCCUGUAUACACAAAGGAGUGUAUUCCAGCUAAUUAUGAUCACAUACCAACACAGAAAACGGCAAUGAACUGGAGUCACUUGAAAGGAAUUGCUGACGAAAUGGCACCUCUACUCAAUUGUGAAGUAGGCUUACUACUUGGCUAUAACUGCCCUAGAGUGCUAGCUCCAAGACAAGUCAUACUAGGUAAAAAUGAGGAACCAUAUGCCAUUUUAACAGAUUUAGGGUGGAGUAUUGUGGGCUGCUCCAUACCAAGUAUCAAUGAAUCAACAGGGUUCAGUCUUUGUCAAAGGAUAGCUACAAAGGAGAUACCAGCUAUGACACCUGGGGAUGCAGUCCGUAUACUUGAAUCAGACUUUAAGGACAUCACAGUAGAUGACAAGACAGUCUCUCAAGAGGACAUCAUGUUCCUAGACAAACUUAAAGUAGGAAUAAAGAAAAAUUAUCUAGGACAUUAUGAAAUGCCUCUUCCAUUUAAGCAACGACCAUCCUUGCCGGACAACAGAGAACUUGCAUCGAUCAGACUCCAACAUCUGAACAAGAAGUUUUCCAAAAAUGAGAAAUACAAAACAGACUACUUCACUUACAUGAAUGACAUUAUUGACAGAGGUGAUGCAGAAGUGGUAAAUGAUGAGGGAACCAGUGGUGAAAAAUGGUACAUACCUCACCAUGGGAUCUACCACCCAAAAAAGCCAGAUAAGCUACGGGUUGUAUUCGAUUGCUCUGCAAAAUUCAAAGGUACAAGUCUCAAUGAACAUUUACUAUCAGGACCAGACAUGAUAAACAACCUCACGGGAGUCCUUGUAAGGUUCAGAAGGCAUCCUAUUGCAGUGAUAUGUGACAUUGAAAAAAUGUUUCACCAAUUUCACGUUCAGGAAAAGGAUCGUGAUUAUCUGCGCUUCUUAUGGUGGAAAGAUGGAGACACAAAUUCAGUUCUUCAAGAUUACAGAAUGAAAGUGCAUCUAUUUGGUGCAGUCUCUUCGCCCGGUUGUGCAAACUAUGGGCUAAGAUAUUUAGCCAAUGAGUACAGCCAAUCACACGCAUUAGGCGCUCAGUUCAUCACAAGGGAUUUUUAUGUUGAUGAUGGAGUUACAAGUGCAGAAACAGUAGAAAAGGCUAUACAGUUGACAAAGGAAGCACGGGAACUGUGUGCAAAGGGUGGUCUUCGACUUCACAAGUUCGUAUCAAAUGACAACACAGUUUUGCAAAGCAUACCAGAAUCAGAACGUGCUGUAAACUUUGAAACGAAAGAUCUCACCUUCAAUGAAAUGCCACUCGAAAGAGCUCUGGGAAUUCACUGGAACAUACAGAGUGAUAGUUUCAAAUUCCAUGUUCCAUUAAAGGGUCAGCCUACAACACGUCGUGGCAUAUUAUCCACUGUUGCCUCCAUAUUUGAUCCUUUAGGAUUUGUAGCUCCAUUUGUUCUCAAUGGCAAGAGAAUCCUACAGGAAAUGUGUCGCCAAGGAACUGGCUGGGAUGAUACACUUUACCCUGCACUCAAGCCACGGUGGGAGAGAUGGCAAAAUGACCUUGUCAAUCUAGAAAAUGUGAACAUACCACGAUGUUAUGUACCUGCUGAUUUCGGAAAAGUAGUGAAAACAGAAAUGCAUCAUUUCUCAGAUGCGAGUACCUGUGGUUACGGUCAAUGUUCUUAUCUGAGGAUGAUAAAUGAGGAUGAUGAAAUUCAUUGCUCUUUUCUUAUUGGCAAAGCCCGGGUUUCUCCUUUAAAGAUUAUCACAAUACCCAGGUUAGAGCUAACUGCAGCUGUAGUAUCAGUCAGUAUGAGCAAUAUACUCAGAGAAGAGCUUAACCUCAUUGAUGUCGACGAAUACUUUUGGACUGACUCAAAGGUAGUUUUGGGUUACAUUAAUAACGAUGCUCGUCGUUUCCACACAUUUGUAGCCAAUAGAGUCCAAAAAAUACGUCAAAGUACAACACCCAAUCAAUGGCUGUAUGUCCCAACAGAUGAAAACCCAGCAGACAACGCUUCAAGAGGGAGAACAAUCAAUGAGCUGCUUUCAUCUAAUUGGUUCUCUGGGCCCUCAUUUUUGUGGGAAAAGGAAAUAACAACCACAAAUGUUGUGCCAGACCUCCCAGUCGGAGAUCCAGAGGUAAAGAAAAUUCAGACAUUACACACAAAGACCAUGGAAAAUAAAGAUCUUGUAGACCGAUUGUCCAAGUUCUCAUCUUGGUCUAAGACUAUCAAAGCUGUUGCACGCCUUCUGAGAUGGAUUAAGAAAGAUAAAACCAAUUCACCAGCAUCCGUAAGUGAACAAGAAGAUGCAAAAUGCUUGAUUCUAAAAGGAGUACAAAGGCAAGUGUAUCAGAAAGAGACUGAAGUGUUGAGUCAAGGAAAAAGACUUCCAAGUCACAGUAAACUUCAUCAUCUGGAUGCCUUUAUAGACAAAGAUGGUAUAAUCAAGGUGGGAGGCAGAUUAGAUCACUCAUCAUAUACUCACGCAUUCAAGCAUCCAUGGAUCCUGCCAAAGGAACACCAUGUUACAAAGUUGAUUAUUGCACACUGCCAUGAAUGUGUAAAGCAUCAAGGCAAGGGUUUCACAAUCAAUAAUAUCAGAUCAUGCGGCUAUUGGAUACCUGGAAUAAACAGAGUGGUCACAUCUUACAUUCUCAACUGUGUGACUUGCAGAAGGAUGAGAAGAUCUGCUGAAGGCCAGAGGAUGAGUGAUCUCCCCUCAGAACGUGUAGAGCCUUCGCCGCCUUUUAUGUAUUGUGGCAUGGACUGCUUUGGUCCAUUCAUGACUAAAGAAGGGAGAAAACAUCACAAGAGGUACGGUCUGCUUCUAACAUGCUUGUGUUCAAGAGCUAUUCAUAUUGAAAUGUUAGAAGACAUGUCGACGGAUGCAUUUAUUAACAGUCUGAGAUGCUUUAUUGCAAUUCGAGGCACAGUAAGGCAAAUAAAAUGUGACCAAGGUACCAAUUUCAUAGGCGCAAAGAAUGAAUUGAAUUCAGCAUUGCAAGAACUCGAUCCAGAACGCCUCACAACUUUUCUUGCAAACAAACAAUGUGACUUUGUUUUGAAUGCUCCUCAUUCCAGUCAUGCAGGGGGUGUAUGGGAGCGUCAAAUCAAAACUGUCCGGAGCGUUCUUAAUGCUACCAUCACCCUUUCAGCAGGCAGGCUUAAUGAUGCCUCAUUGCGCACUGUAUUUUACGAAGCCAUGGCAGUAGUCAAUAGUCGCCCUCUUACGAUUGACAAUCUGAAUGACCCCAAGAGCUUAGAACCACUCACACCCAAUCAUCUGAUAACCAUGAAGCCCACCACAGCAUUGCCUCCACCAGGAAAGUUCAUUAGAGAGGAUAUGUAUACAAAAAAGAGAUGGAGACGUGUGCAGUACCUUACUGAACAGUUUUGGAGCAGAUGGAAAAAGGAGUAUCUACACAAUAUCAUUGCAAGGCAACGCUGGCAUGCUCCAAAAAGGAACCUUCAAAUUGGUGAUGUGGUCAUGGAUAUAGAAGAAACAUUGCCUAGGAGUGAAUGGAGACUAGGGAGGAUUAUAGAGACUGUUCUGAGCCCGGAUGGACUUGUAAGAAAAGCCAAAGUAGCACUUGGCGACAAGAGAUUAAACAAGAAAGGAGAAAGAAUGCAUAAAAUCUCAAUAGUAGAUAGACCAGCUCAAAAGUUGGUCUUGUUGUUGGAAGCAGAGUGAAUGCAUUUACAAUGGGACUUUAUUGCACUUUAUACACUUCCAAAGAGGGUUAUAAUUGGAAAUUAGUUAUGUUUGAGGAACAUUGAUAAUUUGGUGGGAGUGUAACAGACUUAAGGUGUUAUCUUGCAUUUCUUCAUGUUUAAAGAUCAUUUAAUUUCUAUUAUUUGUGGGGGACUUUUAUUUUGAAAGGAAUUCCGUUUUUCAGAGCAGAAAAUAAAUGAGAGAGCAGAAGGUAAAGCGGACGUUUCAUAACAGUUUAACUAGAGCUCGUACUGAAAAGGACUGUUUACAAGUUUAAUCAGCAACCCCCCGAAAAGGCAUAAGCUCUUACGGUGAUUUCAAGUGUAAAGGAAUGUAAAUAAAGCAACUUGAAACAUCA